CCUACGGGUGGCUGCAGUGGGGAAUAUUGCACAAUGGGGGAGACCCUGAUGCAGCGACGCCGCGUGAGUGAAGACGUAUUUCGGUAUGUAAAGCUCUAUCAGCAGGGGAGAAAAUGAGGGUACCUGACUACGAAGCCCCGGCUAACCACGUGCCAGCAUCCGCGGUAAUAAGUAGGGGUCAAGCGUUAUCCGGAUUUACUGGGGUUAAAGGGAGCGUAGAUGGCCAGACAAGGCAGAAGUGAAAGCCCAGGGCUCAACCCUGGGAGUGCUUUUGAAACUGCCGGGCUGGAGUGCAGGAGAGGUAAGCGGAAUGCGUAGUGUAGCGGUGAAAUGCGUAGAUAUUAGGAAGAACACCAGUGGCGAAGGCGGCUUACUGGACUGUAACUGACGUUGAGGCUCGAAAGCGUGGGGAGCAAACAGGAUUAGAUACCCGAGUAGUC
rnacentral:rRNA from 1 species